rnacentral:rRNA from 1 species
CCUACGGGCGGCAGCAGUGGGGAAUAUUGGACAAUGGGGGCAACCCUGAUCCAGCCAUGCCGCGUGUGUGAAGAAUGCCCUCGGGUUGUAAAGCACUUUCAGUGAGGAAGAACGCCUGGUGGUUAAUACCCAUCAGGAAAGACAUCACUCACAGAAGAAGCACCGGCUAACUCCGUGCCAGCAGCCGCGGUAAUACGGAGGGUGCGAGCGUUAAUCGGAAUUACUGGGCGUAAAGCGCGCGUAGGUGGCUUGAUAAGCCGGUUGUGAAAGCCCCGGGCUCAACCUGGGAACGGCAUCCGGAACUGUCAAGCUAGAGUGCAGGAGAGGAAGGUAGAAUUCGCGGUGUAGCGGUGAAAUGCGUAGAGAUCGGGAGGAAUACCAGUGGCGAAGGCGGCCUUCUGGACUGAAACUGACACUGAGGUGCGAAAGCGUGGGUAGCAAACAGGAUUAGAUACCCCUGUAGUC